rnacentral:rRNA from 1 species
UACGAAGGGGGCUAGCGUUGUUCGGAAUUACUGGCGUAAAGCGUGCGCAGGCGGCCAUCCAAGUCAGUGGUGAAAGCCCGGAGCUCAACUCCGGAAUUGCCAUUGAAACUGUUUGGCUCGAGUACGAGAGAGGUGAGUGGAAUUCCCGAGUGUAGAGGUGAAAUUCGUAGAUAUUGGGAAGAACACCGGUGGCGAAGGCGGCUCACUGGCUCGUAACUGACGCUCAUGCACGACAGCGUGGGGAUCAAACAGG